AGAUGAACGAGAUAUUGGUGCGGUUCAAUGACAAAUCAAUGCUUAAAGUGUCUUAAGUUUUGUUUUUCGAUUGAGCCGUGCCAAUAUCACGUGCCACUAC
rnacentral:pre_miRNA from 1 species